GACGCAUGCGUGCUUCCGACAUGGGCGAGAGAAAAAAGGAGAGGCGAUCGGAGUAACAACAGAAAUGAAUGAGAGCGAAAGCGAACAGACCGCAGAUAUAUAUUACAGAGAGAUACACAGCGAAUUCAAUUCACCAUGGCCACUGCGUCUGUAAACAACGACACCAAGAAUGAGCCUGUCCCCAGAGAAGAGCUGGAAAACCCUCCCGCUUCAUACAGGUCUAAAGUGUGGAAAUAUUUUGGCUUCCCUGUACAUUAUGAGAGUGAGGGCUCUCGACGGGUCGUAAGUAAGACGCAUACUGUUUGUCGACUCUGCUAUAUGCGAGUGCCGUAUCCCUCCACAAGCAACACAACGAAUAUGGCACAGCAUCUCAGCCGUCACCACAAAGAUGUGAAAGAACCACAAAACCUGACGCAGCCCUCAAUCAAAGACGCCAUUAAGAAAAAAGAAAAGUUUGCACCAAAUUCGGCUCGCGCUAAGGACAUAAACAGCGCACUUGCUGUGAUGAUAGGAGCAGACAUGCGUCCGCUUUCAUUAGUACAGGGCCCUGGCUUUAGAUAUUUUUGCAGGGUUCUAGAACCACGCUGGCAAAUACCAAGCGGAUUUUAUGUGAGCACAACCUUGAUGCCAGAAUUGUAUGAGAAUGUGAAGGCUGAAAUUGUUGAAGGACUGAGCUGUGCUGAAUCCAUUGCCAUUACAACUGAUGGCUGGACCUCUAGAGCAACAGAAAGUUACAUCACAGUAACAGCACACUAUCUUAAUGAGAACUGGGAGAUGAAAAAUCAUGUCCUUCAAACUCUCCCAAUCUAUGAAUCCCACACAAGUGAGAAUUUGUCUGAUGUUCUGACAAAAGCUGCAGUGGAAUGGAAAUUAGAAAGACCAAAUACCAAGAUCCCUGUGACAACAGAUAAUGCCAAAAACGUUGUCAAUGCCACAAAGCAGGCUGGGAUGUCACCACAGAUAGGAUGUUUUGCACAUACAGUCAAUCUGGCAUCACAGAAGGGCUUGGACGUGAACCAGAUGAGCCGUAUUCUGUCCAAAAUCAGGAAGAUAGUGGCAUUUUUCCACCGCUGUACAACUGCAGCAGCAGUCUAUGGUGGCAAACAAAAAGAUCUCAAGCUGCCCGAUCACAAGCUAAUUCAUGAUGUUAAGACACGAUGGAACUCCAGCUAUGAAAUGAUUGAGCGCUACCUAGAGCAGCAGGCUGCAGUUUAUGCUGCACUCACAGAGGACAGCGUAAAGAAGAAUGUAAAAGACCUCAUCACCCUCACUGAUUCUGACAUUAAAGUCAUGGAGGCAGCGGUUGAGGUGCUGAAGCCCUUAAAAACAGUCACCACUACUCUGAGUUCUGAAAAACAGCCAACUGUAUCUCUGAUCCAUCCCCUCCAUCACACAAUCCUGACAUCUAUGAGACCCACUGGCACAGAUCCACCCACUGUGAGGGAUAUGAAGAAUGCCAUUGCAGCUAACUUCAAGGACAGAUAUUCAGACCCAGCAACUCAACAGUUCCUGAAACAGAGCACUGCACUAGAUCCUAGGUUCAAGUCCCUACCCCACCUGGAUGACCUCUCCCAGAGUGAGAUCUUCAAAAGUCUGACUGAGCAAAUCUUGCAGCAGCAUCCCACAGAGGUAUGUGCUAUAUUAAUUUUAACAAUAAUAAUUUAACUAAAAUGUAAUAUGUAUUUUUUUAUUGUUUUCAUUGACUUGUUUAAAACUAAACACUAUUCUUAAAUAUUUAAAGUCAUAUAAUUAUUUUUUAAUAUGUCAUGAUAAAAAAUAGCUCACCAAAGAUGUUGUCACAAAUGUCCUCAGUCAUAAUAGAGGCACACCUCAUUUAUUUUCUGUUUUGUGUUUCUGUAUUGUGUGACCUUUUAGGCCCAGGCCUCUGGAGAGGGCACCAGGGAGAGGAGCCCAGCAGAUGAUUCAGAAGCUGCAUCAACAUCUGCUCCCCCCAGCAAAGAAGACAGCACUCAGUGAACUGUUUGGCAAUUUCUUCAGCACAGCCCAGCCCCACCACACUACACCAGGAGCCCCCAUACCAUUUCCUCAGGUGGUAGAAGAGGAGAUUCAGCACUACAGGAACGCCAUCCUCACUGAAAUCAAUGAAGUGACUGGCCACACUCAACCAAUCACUGUUGAUUCAGAUCCCCUGAAGUGGUGGAAAAAGAAUGAGCAUGUGUACCCACACUUGGCAAAGCUUGCCAAACGUUAUCUUUCUGUUCAAGCAACCAGUGUUGCCAGUGAAAGAGUGUUCUCAACAGCAGGGGACCUCAUAACAGCUGAGAGGAGUUGCCUCUCUCCAGAAAAUGUGAACAAGCUCAUCUUCCUUAAGAAGAAUUUGCACAUAGAUAUAGAGCUUGAAUGAAUGGAAUGGCUUUGGCAUUAUUCACAUUUCAUGUUUGUAAAAGGAAAGCUCUCUGUUAGAAUAAUGUGAAUAAUACAGUAGUGGUCCAGUGGACUCACUGUGGAAGAAUUUGAAUUUGAGCCAAAUGUAGCCAAAUUACAUUGUUUGUUGGUCCUUUUUUCUUACAUGUUGUUCAACAUUAUUGGUUGAUUGAUUGUUACCUGAAAAUAACUGUUACAUCUUCUUAAAGAAGAAUUUGAAAAUGGAAGUUGUUAGGGCAUAAAACCCUAAGUUUAUAAUUUAUUUUAUAAUGUUUGUUUAUGUUAAACAUUGAAUUCUUCUCAUUUGUCAUUAAAGUGACUGAUUGAGAAAAA
rnacentral:lncRNA from 1 species